UACGUAGGGUGCAAGCGUUAAUCGGAAUUACUGGGCGUAAAGCGUGCGCAGGCGGUUUUGUAAGUCUGACGUGAAAUCCCCGGGCUUAACCUGGGAAUUGCGUUGGAGACUGCAAGGCUAGAAUCUGGCAGAGGGGGGUAGAAUUCCACGUGUAGCAGUGAAAUGCGUAGAGAUGUGGAGGAACACCGAUGGCGAAGGCAGCCCCCUGGGUCAAGAUUGACGCUC
rnacentral:rRNA from 1 species